rnacentral:rRNA from 1 species
GUCCUAGCCGUAAACGGUGCAUAUUUGCUGUAAAGGAAUCGACCCCUUUGUGGCGAAGCUAACGCGAUAAAUAUGCCGCCUGGGAAGUACGGUCGCAAGAUUAAACUCAAAGAAUUGACGGGGCCUGCACAAGCGGUGGAGUAUGUGGCUUAAUUCGAUGCAACGCGAAGAACCUUACCUGGCCUUGACAUGUAUCUAGUAGAAGGGUGAAAGCCUGACGAGAUAGCAAUAUCAGGAUACACAGGUGCUGCAUGGCUGUCGU